UGAAGUUUUCGGAUGGAUCUUAGAUUGACUGAGCGGCGGACGGGUGAGUAACGCGUGGAUAACCUGCCUCACACAGGGGGAUAACAGUUAGAAAUGACUGCUAAUACCGCAUAAGACCACAGCACCGCAUGGUGCAGGGGUAAAAACUCCGGUGGUAUGAGAUGGACCCGCGUCUGAUUAGCCAGUUGGCGGGGUAACGGCCCACCAAAGCGACGAUCAGUAGCCGGCCUGAGAGGGUGAACGGCCACAUUGGGACUGAGACACGGUCCAAACUCC
rnacentral:rRNA from 1 species